UUUCCGUAGGUGAACCUGCGGAAGGAUCAUUAAAGAGUAAGGGUCUUCGGGCCCGAUCUCCAACCCUUUGUUUAACUACCAUGUUGCUUUGGCGGGCCCGUCUCACGACCGCCGGAAGUUUGGCUUCGACCAAACUUCUGGCCCGUGCCCGUCAGUGGCCCCUUCAAAUUCUUGAUCAAGUAUGAUGUCUUAGUUAAAAACUUAAUAGUUAAAACUUUUAACAACGGAUCUCUUGGCUCUA
rnacentral:misc_RNA from 1 species